CUCACAGUCACUGGAUGCUGCUGAAGAAGAGCCCUCUGAGAGAGGAACAGAGGAGGACCCUGUAUUCUCUGUUGAGAAUUCAGGGAGGGACUCAGAUGCCCUUAGACUUGAAAGUACGGUGGUUGAGGAGAGCAAUGGUUCUGAUGAGAUGGAGAAUUCCGAUGAAACCAAAAUGUCAGAAGAAAUACUGGCUUUGGUGGAUGAAUUUCAACAGGCAUGGCCUUUGGAAGGCUUUGGGGGUGCACUAGAGAUGAAAGGGCGGCGUCUAGACUUACAAGGAAUACGGGUGCUGAAGAAAGGUCCCCAGGAUGGAGUGGCCAGAAGCUCUUGCUAUGGAGACUGCAGAAGUGAAGAUGAUGAAGCAACAGAAUGGAUUACAUUCCAGGUCAAACGUGUAAAGAAACCCAAAGGAGAUCAUAAGAAAACUCCUGGGAAAAAAGUAGAAACAAGUCAGAUAGAAAAUGGACAUCGUUACCAAGCAAACCUAGAGAUCACUGGCCCCAAGGUGGCAUCUCCUGGGCCACAAGGUAAAUUUGAAUGUCUAAUAUGCCAGCUUCUUGUUUUAGAUGUCACUAUCUCAUUUCUCACAAAGGUUGUAUUUGUAACUUGAAAUAGUUCAGAUGAGAUGAUAAAGGGGCAAAGUGGUCAAGAAACCAGUCUAUCUUCUGUAUCAAUGAAAAAAAUGUUCAAACUCUAAAACAUUAUGGAAAUGAAAAUUCCAGUGGAUUUAACAUGUGUAAUAAAUCAUAAAGGAAGAAAAACUAGGUGAAUAUUUACAUGCUCUUUCCAUGUGGAAAGAACUUUCUAAGGCAGAGAGA
rnacentral:sRNA from 1 species